rnacentral:rRNA from 1 species
GAGUUUGAUCGUGGCUCAGGAUGAACGCUGGCGGCGUGCCUAAUACAUGCAAGUCGAACGAACAGAUAAGGAGCUUGCUCCUUUGACGUUAGCGGCGGACGGGUGAGUAACACGUGGGUAACCUACCUAUAAGACUGGAAUAACUCCGGGAAACCGGGGCUAAUGCCGGAUAACAUGUUGAACCGCAUGGUUCUACAGUGAAAGACGGUCUUGCUGUCACUUAUAGAUGGACCCGCGCCGUAUUAGCUAGUUGGUGGGGUAACGGCCUACCAAGGCGACGAUACGUAGCCGACCUGAGAGGGUGAUCGGCCACACUGGAACUGAGACACGGUCCAGACUCCUACGGGAGGCAGCAGUAGGGAAUCUUCCGCAAUGGGCGAAAGCCUGACGGAGCAACGCCGCGUGAGUGAUGAGGGUCUUCGGAUCGUAAAGCUCUGUUGUUAGGGAGAACAAAUGUGUAAGUAACUGUGCAUAUCUUGACGGUACCUAACCAGAAAGCCACGGCUAACUACGUGCCAGCAGCCGCCGUAACG